GACAAACGCUGGCGGCGUGCCUAACACAUGCAAGUCGAACGCCCUCGCUUCGGUGAGGGAGUGGCGGACGGGUGAGUAAUGCGUGGAUACCUACCCCCAAGUGAGGAAUACCGGCGAGAAAUCGCCGACAAUACCGCAUAGGUUUCUUUCGGGAAACAAAGUUGCUCGCAAGAGUGACGCUUGAGGAUGGGUCUGCGUCGGAUUAGCUGGUUGGUGGGGUAAUGGCCUACCAAAGCGACGAUCCGUAGCUGGUCUGAGAGGAUGAUCAGCCACACUG
rnacentral:rRNA from 1 species